rnacentral:rRNA from 1 species
ACGGGACCCGCACAAGCGGUGGAUGAUGUGGAUUAAUUCGAUGCAACGCGAAAACCUUACCUACGCUUGACAUGUCAGGAACCUCGAGAGAUUUGAGGGUGCCCGAAAGGGAACCUGAACACAGGUGCUGCAUGGCUGUCGUCAGCUCGUGUCGUGAGAUGUUGGGUUAAGUCCCGCAACGAGCGCAACCCUUAUCAUUAGUUGCUACGCAAGGGCACUCUAAUGAGACUGCCGGUGACAAACCGGAGGAAGGUGGGGAUGACGUCAAGUCCUCAUGGCCCUUAUGCGUAGGGCUUCACACGUCAUACAAUGGUCGGUACAGAGGGUUGCCAACCCGCGAGGGGGAGCCAAUCCCACAAAGCCGAUCGUAGUCCGGAUUGCAGUCUGCAACUCGACUGCAUGAAGUCGGAAUCGCUAGUAAUCGCGGAUCAGCAUGUCGCGGUGAAUACGUUCCCGGGUCUU